rnacentral:rRNA from 1 species
UACGGAGGGAGCUAGCGUUGUUCGGAAUUACUGGGCGUAAAGCGCGCGUAGGCGGCUUUGUAAGUUAGAGGUGAAAGCCCGGGGCUCAACCCCGGAAUUGCCUUUAAGACUGCAUCGCUUGAAUCCGGGAGAGGUGAGUGGAAUUCCGAGUGUAGAGGUGAAAUUCGUAGAUAUCAGGAGGAACACCUGCGGCGAAGGCGGGUAGCUGGGCCGACACUGACGCUGAUG